AUGGAUGUAUUAGUGAGGUCUUUUAAUGAAUCAUUAUUCCUAAGAUGUCAACAAUUGAUGUCUCAUGAAGACACGGCAAUCAAUGAAAUCACCCGAAAAGGGAGCUCAAGAAGAAGAAAUGUCACAAGUGGUGCAUCAGACACACUAGCUAGAGAGUUGUUGUAUGGUCCAGUUGGUUGUCAUGGUCCAACUAUGCAAGGAUCACGCUAUCUUGCGUUGGUGUGUGGUCCAGUGCUUAAUUUUUUUUCUGCCUCCGCAUUGAGAUAUAAACUCAAACAAAAAACGAGUGUAGAGUGGGAGAUAACAUAUAGAAGUCUUUCCACCAAGAUAUACGUAGUCUCCAUUUCACCACCACACCAAGGGACGGAAAACUGA
rnacentral:rRNA from 1 species